GCUAGAAAAAGAAAGAGUUUGAAGAGAGAUAUUGAAAGCCGUGACCCGGUAGAAUGUUUCUUAAGGAAUAGUACUUCUUUAGUGUUGCUCGAUCAGCAUACUCGACAAUUUUACGUCCGCGAGAUGACGUGUAUUACGUAAAAAAUACGGUAUUGUCGCGUGUGAGGAAAUAGCUUUUGGAUUAUGCAAUUUCUUCGAACACGCUACUUUCGCGAAAAGAAGAUUAUCCCUAUUGCGAAGUAAGGAUAUAAGCUCGAACCUAAAGCGUGGCUUCGAAAUAAAGAUCAGCAAAGUUUAAACGAGACAAGAGAAUUAUUUCGAGAAAUGUACUCGUUGCAAAAAUAGAAAGACAUACUAAAAAUUUAAACGAGAUAAAAGAAUCAUUUUGAAAAAUGUACUCGUUACAAAAAAUAGAAAGACACGUUAAAAAUUAUGUAAAAGAAAAAAAACAGAUUUGAUUUAGAGUUGUGAAAUGAUGCUGCCAAAAUAAAAAGAAUUGUGUUAAAGAAGCUUAAAGCACUACGUCAUACGUUUCUCUAAUUAGAAAACGCGGCCGCACAUAACAAGCGUAAUAACAUUUAUCCAGACGACUUUGAAGCGACGUUCUCUUGGCAAACAAUGUUUACCAAGGACCACGUAGUUCCGCGGAGGAUUGAUAACGUGAUUAAAGCUGCGGAGUUAUUCGGGAAUCAUAUUAUUCAAAGCAAUUAUCCGCGCGCCCUAAGGUUCAUGCAAGACGAUAUAAAUUUGGAGAAGAAUGUCUGAUGUUACAAAAUAGCGCUACAGAAGAUUUAACGUUAUCAAGAUAGUGAACAUAUUUUGGGAUCGCAAUAUUCUCUCUUCGGCCACGGGAUAAAAGCUUAUCGUUCGGUACACAACGUGAAAUGCAUCAGCAAGAAGAUUUGCACGAAUCCGAUGCACUACCGUAAACAUAUUAGAUCGGAUGAGGUGCAGCAACAAACCGCAAAUACCCGGCGAUCGAAACGAAAAUUUGACAUGGCACUGGCAAACCCGUCGAGUAAAUGUCAGCCUUGAUUUCCGUUCGUUCUUUUUGUUAAUUACAAUUCGAUGCAUCUCGCUUUUGCAAACGUUUCAUCGUGUACAGGUUACAUA